rnacentral:tmRNA from 1 species
GACAGGGUGGCUGGGCUUGAGGUGCGCGUUGGAGGGCUCGUCUCCGUCAGAAACGACAGUUAAUAAAACUGGCAAAACAUACAACCUAGCAUUCGCAGCGUAUGCUGUUGAGUCUGCCUAGCAGUUCCAUCGCCCAUGUGGCAUUGUUAGACCUAUUAGUGGGAUACGGUAACUGUCGCUUCCUGAGACCGUUGCAGGAGAUUAUCAGGAUAGCGCUCACGGAUAGCCUUGAUUGACGGCAAACGUGCGUGCGAAUUGAAAGUAGUCAAUCUACACGCGUACCCGCUGAAGUAGCAGAGCCAUUGGACGUAAGUUCGACUCUCACC